rnacentral:lncRNA from 1 species
UCAACCCUUUUUUNGCCUCCGGCUCAGAACGUAAUACAGAAGCACUAUAGUCCCAGCCGCCGUGGCCAUUGUCGUCGCCGCCAUCAGAUCACUCCCAAAAAAAGAAAUUGUCUACAUAUAAAUGAGUUGAUUUCUUGAAAGGGAAAUGAAUAUCAGAAGAAAUUGGGGUUUGGAAGCCAUAAUUUUGAUUUCAGUGAUCUCUAGUUAUAGAUACAUCGCCGCUGUAUGAGAGAGGCAAGCAGGAUCGGGUUAAGUUAAGCAAACAAAGCAGCUUACAGCUCAACGCUUCAAAUUUGAUAGAAUGACUGAAGUAUCCUUCUCAUUAAUCGGCGCAAUC